rnacentral:rRNA from 1 species
CUUCUCGGGUUACCGAAUUCAGAUAAACUCCGAAUGCCAUGUACUUAUACUCGGGAGUCAGACUGCGAGUGAUAAGAUCCGUAGUCGAAAGGGAAACAGCCCAGACCACCAGUUAAGGUCCCCAAAUAUAUGUUAAGUGGAAAAGGAUGUGGGGUUGCUUAGACAACCAGGAUGUUGGCUUAGAAGCAGCCACCAUUGAAAGAGUGCGUAAUAGCUCACUGGUCGAGUGACCCCGCGCCGAAAAUGUACCGGGGCUAAACAUAUUACCGAAACUGUGGAUGAACCUCUUUAGAGGUUCGUGGUAGGAGAGCGUUCUAAGGGCGGUGAAGUCAGACCGGAAGGACUGGUGGAGCGCUUAGAAGUGAGAAUGCCGGUAUGAGUAGCGAAAGAAGGGUGAGAAUCCCUUCCACCGAAUAUCUAAGGUUUCCUGAGGAAGGCUCGUCCGCUCAGGGUUAGUCGGGACCUAAGCCGAGGCCGAUAGGCGUAGGCGAUGGACAACAGGUAGAGAUUCCUGUACCAGUGCUAAUUGUUUAACCGAUGGGGUGACACAGAAGGAUAGGGAAUCGCACGAAUGGAAAUGUGCGUCCAAGCAGUGAGUGUGAGAAGUAGGCAAAUCCGCUUCUCGCGAAGCAUGAGCUGUGAUGGGGAAGGAAAUUAAGUACGGAAGUUCCUGAUUUCACGCUGUCAAGAAAAGCCUCUAGGAAGAGUAGUACUGCCCGUACCGCAAACCGACACAGGUAGAUGAGGAGAGAAUCCUAAGGUGAGCGAGAGAACUCUCGUUAAGGAACUCGGCAAAAUGACCCCGUAACUUCGGGAGAAGGGGUGCUCUAUUAGGGUGCAAGCCCGAGAGAGCCGCAGUGAAUAGGCCCAGGCGACUGUUUAGCAAAAACACAGGUCUCUGCAAAACCGUAAGGUGACGUAUAGGGGCUGACGCCUGCCCGGUGCUGGAAGGUUAAGAGGAGUGCUUAGCUUCGGCGAAGGUACGAAUUGAAGCCCCAGUAAACGGCGGCCGUAACUAUAACGGUCCUAAGGUAGCGAAAUUCCUUGUCGGGUAAGUUCCGACCCGCACGAAAGGCGCAACGAUCUGGGCACUGUCUCAACGAGAGACUCGGUGAAAUUAUAGUACCUGUGAAGAUGCAGGUUACCCGCGACAGGACGGAAAGACCCCGUGGAGCUUUACUGCAACCUGAUAUGGAAUGUUUGUACCGCUUGUACAGGAUAGGUAGGAGCCGAAGAGACGUGUGCGCUAGCAUACGAGGAGGCAAUGGUGGGAUACUACCCUGGCUGUAUGACCAUUCUAACCCGCCACGCUUAGCGCGUGGGGAGACAGUGUCAGGUGGGCAGUUUGACUGGGGCGGUCGCCUCCUAAAGAGUAACGGAGGCGCCCAAAGGUUCCCUCAGAAUGGAUGGAAAUCAUUCGCAGAGUGUAAAGGCACAAGGGAGCUUGACUGCGAGACUGACAAGUCGAGCAGGGACGAAAGUCGGGCUUAGUGAUCCGGUGGUUCCGCAUGGAAGGGCCAUCGCUCAACGGAUAAAAGCUACCCCGGGGAUAACAGGCUUAUCUCCCCCAAGAGUCCACAUCGACGGGGAGGUUUGGCACCUCGAUGUCGGCUCGUCGCAUCCUGGGGCUGUAGUCGGUCCCAAGGGUUGGGCUGUUCGCCCAUUAAAGCGGCACGCGAGCUGGGUUCAGAACGUCGUGAGACAGUUCGGUCCCUAUCCGUCGCGGGCGCAGGAAAUUUGAGAGGAGCUGUCCUUAGUACGAGAGGACCGGGAUGGACACACCGCUGGUGUACCAGUUGUUCCGCCAGGAGCAUCGCUGGGUAGCUAUGUGUGGCAGGGAUAAACGCUGAAAGCAUCUAAGCGUGAAGCCCCCCUCAAGAUGAGAUUUCCCAUUUCUUCGGAAAGUAAGAUCCCUGAAAGAUGAUCAGGUAGAUAGGUUUGGAGUGGAAGUGUAGCGAUACAUGGAGCGGACAAAUACUAAUCGAUCGAGGACUUAACCAA